GAUGUGAGGGCGAUCUGGCUGCGAUGUCUGUCACCCCAUUGAUCACCAGGGUUGAUUCAGCUGAUCUGGCUGGCUAGGCGGGUGUCCCCUUCCUCCCUUACCGCUGCAUGUGUGUCCCUCCCGAAGCUGCGCGCUUGAUCAAAGAGGAUGACCUUCCCCGAUAGAGACUUACUGUUCAUCGGUGAAGGGUCUACAGUAGCUGCGCUCCCCUGCUAGAACCUCCAAACAAGCUCAAGCUUUCAGGUAGAAUUAUAUUGAUUUGGAUACUAGAGCCUAACACUUAACUGAAGAGUU
rnacentral:snRNA from 1 species